AGAUUGAACGCUAGCGGGAUGCUUUACACAUGCAAGUCGAACGGCAGCGCGGACUUCGGUCUGGCGGCGAGUGGCGAACGGGUGAGUAAUAUAUCGGAACGUGCCCAGUAGCGGGGGAUAACUACGCGAAAGCGUGGCUAAUACCGCAUACGCCCUACGGGGGAAAGGGGGGGAGUUCUUCGGAACCUCUCACUAUUGGAGCGGCCGAUAUCAGAUUAGCUAGUUGGUGAGGUAAAGGCUCACCAAGGCGACGAUCUGUAGCUGGUUUGAGAGGACGACCAGCCACACUGGGACUGAGACACGCCCAGACUCCUACGGGA
rnacentral:rRNA from 1 species